UACAGAGGGUGCAAGCGUUAAUCGGAAUUACUGGGCGUAAAGGGCUCGUAGGUGGCCAACUAAGUCAGACGUGAAAUCCCCAGGCUCAACUUGGGAACUGCGUCUGAUACUGGAUGGCUUGAAUUCGGGAGAGGGAUGCAGAAUUCCAGGUGUAGCGGUGAAAUGCGUAGAUAUCUGGAGGAACACCGGUGGCGAAGGCGACGUCCUGGACCGGCAUUGACGCUGAGGCGCGAAAGCCAGGGGAGCAAACGGG
rnacentral:rRNA from 1 species